AUUGAACGCUGGCGGCAGGCCUAACACAUGCAAGUCGAGCGAGCGGCGGACGGGUGAGUCAUGUCUGGGAAACUGCCUGUUGGAGGGGGAUAACUACUGGAAACGGUAGCUAAUACCGCAUAUCAUACGAUAUUCCCAGGUGGGAUUAGCUAGUAGGUGGGGUAACGGCUCACGUAGGCGACGAUCCCUAGCUGGUCUGAGAGGAUGACCAGCCGCACUGGAACUGAGACACGGUCCAAGCGCCUUGGGAAGGCAGCAGUAGGGAAUAUUGAACAAUGGGCGCGGACCAGAUGCAGCCAUGCCGCGUGUGUGAAGAAGGACUUCGGGUUGUAAAGCACUUUCAGCGGGGAGGCGUUACCCGCAGAAGAAGCACCGGCUAACUCCGUGCCAGCAGCCGCGGUAAUAC
rnacentral:rRNA from 1 species